rnacentral:rRNA from 1 species
AGAGUUUGAUUAUGGCUCAGGGUGAACGCUGGCGGCGUGCUUGACACAUGCAAGUCGAACGGUAUGUGGCAACACAUAGAGUGGCGAACGGGUGAGUAACACGUGGGAACGUACCCUACGCAGGGGGAUAACUGACCGAAAGGACAGCUAAUACCGCAUAAGACCGAGAGGAGAAAGGUGCAACAGCAUCGGCAGAGGAGCGGCCCGCGGACCAUCAGCUAGUUGGUGGGGUAAGAGCCUACCAAGGCAACGACGGAUAGCCGGCGUGAGAGCGUGGCCGGCCACAAGGACACUGAGAUACGGGUCCUACUCCUACGGGAGGCAGCAGUGCAGAAUUUUAGAUAAUGGAGGCAACUCUGAUCUAGCGACGCCGCGUGCAGGAAGAAGGUCUUCGGAUUGUAAACUGCUGUGGUAAGGGAAAAAUGCCAUGUAGAGUGGAAAGCUACAUGGAGGGAUGGUACUUUACUAGAAAGCCCCGGCUAACUACGUGCCAGCAGCCGCGGUAAUACGUAGGGGGCGAGCGUUACCCGGAAUCACUGGGCGUAAAGGGAGCGUAGGUGGCCUGACAUGUCGACUGUGAAAACCCGGAGCUCAACUCCGGACUUGCAGUUGAAACCGCCAGGCUUGAGGACGGUAGAGGAAGACGGAACUGCCAGUGUAGGGGUAAAAUCCUUAGAUAUUGGCAGGAACGCCGGUGACGAAGGUGGUUUUCUGGGCCGGUUCUGACACUGAUGCUCGAAAGCCAGGGGAGCGAACGGGAUUAGAUACCCUGGUAGUC